CAUGUGACCGAGAUUCUGACUGUCUUGAUCCCGUUGGCUACCACUGCUGUAAAGGGACCACGUGGUGUUGCCCUGAUGAGUGCAUAUGUACCGCAACCAAAACUUGUAUUAGCAACAUCGGGCUUGGUUUACAAGACGGUAAAAUCGUGGGCAUUUGUUUUGGUCUGCUUUUUGCAGUAUCUGGUGGAUCCUGCUGUUACUAUCUCAAGAAAAAGAGCAAGGGGAAUACGUCAGUUCACCAACCUCCAGCUGAACUUUUAGCUCAACCUCCAGCUCAACCGCCAGCUGAACCUCUAGCUGAACUUUCAGUCCAACCCUUAGCUAAAUUUUCAGCUCAACCUCCCGCUGAAUUCCCACCUAAAUACAGAAGAUUAUAACCCGACUGUAGUUGGACUACUGUUAGCGAUUAUGACAUGAUGACACAUUUUUCAAUUUAUCUAGUGGUGUUCGUUAAGACAGCUGAAUUUAUUUACCGGUUAAAUCGAUAAACAUAAGCCUAUUAAAUGUUACUAACUAUAUACUUUGGAAUACUAUUGAUUUUCACUGGAAUGAAACUAUGGUUCUAAAAAUGUAGCAAUAUAAAAUGUUGCCGCAUAUUGGUGAUUCAAUUGAUAAUUUUCUUUAUAUGUUGUGCAUCCUUAU